UCCCACUGUCCCUCUUCAAUACAAGAUGAAGCUGCAUCACCCUCUGGACCUAUUUACUACAGCUUAGGCCUUAGUGACACUCAACCACAAGAAGCAGGAACCAGCAUAGAGAUGUCUUCAGCAUGCAUCUACCAACACAUAGCAGAGGAUCCCUUCUAUUCUAUGAUACAGUAGGUUGCACAGAGAGAGUUGUCUGAAGACGUAAUCACAUUUGUGUGAGAAUGAAAACAAACAUGUAACCUAGUUUUAUCACAUAUUGUUUUUAUUAUUAAUCAAAUUGUAGAUUGUCAUCUGGGUUUGAUGUACAAGUGUAUGAACUGUUAAUGGUUUUCUUUGUUCAGUCAGAUACAGCUGUAGUUGCCAUUCCCACGUGGUUAUAAAUACAUAUAAAGACAA